rnacentral:rRNA from 1 species
CAGCCGUAAACGAUGUGCGUUAGGUGUAUCGACGACCACGAGUCGUCGAGGUGCCGAAGGGAAACCGUGAAACGUACCGCCUGGGAAGUACGGUCGCAAGGCUGAAACUUAAAGGAAUUGGCGGGGGAGCACCACAACAGGUGGAGCCUGCGGUUUAAUUGGACUCAACGCCGGAAAUCUCACCGGAUAGGACAGCAGAAUGAUUGCCGGGCUGAAGACUCUGCAUGACUAGCUGAGAGGUGGUGCAUGGCGUCAGUGACU